rnacentral:lncRNA from 1 species
UGGAAGGAACACUGUCCCCACGAAUUCCUGACUGCUAGACCAAAAGGAAAGCCACUUCCAUGGUGACAUUUCCUGCAACAAAUAGCUCAAAUUCUAGUUCCUUCCUUCUCUCCCAUUUGUGAGUCUCUGACCUGGCAAAGGAAAGUUACCUAAAAUGUAUCUGUUCUCUCCUUUCUCCUUUUAUGUGAGCCUGAAGAUUUGAACCGUGAGCCAUCCAGAUACAGGCUGGGACUAACAUACAUGCAGACCUCCCUCCAGAAGGAAGACCAAACAGAAAACCACCAGAUCUGCUAAAUGAUAAUGUGGUUAAUGCUAAGAAGCACAUUCCCAGCAGUUAGAACAAAGGAACCUUUCCGAGUAUUGUUAAAUGACCGCCUGACCCAUGAGGCCACUUUGGGACUCUGACUGUCGUGAUUCCAGUACCCAGAAUGGACAAAACCAGAGGCCAGACCAUGAGGCCAGUUCCAUCAAGCCCGCCCUGGGCCAGCAGGAAGAUGAGCAAGACUGAGAGGAGAUUUGAUUCAAGCUGAAAGAGACCGGGGAGGUGCAGGACUUGAGGAAGAAACUAGACAUGUGAGAGCUGUGGCCCUGCAGAUGGGAGAGGGGGUACAAGUGGAGGCCAUUCUAGUGGGUGAUUUCCUUCAGAUUAAGACAGGUAGUAUGUAUAUGGGGCAGGAGGAGAAGGGCAUGGAUGGGAUCAGUAAAGAGGAAGACCUCCAGCCAAGGAUGUCAUUUUCUGAAGAAACCAACCCAGGGUAGGAAGGCAUGAGCGUGAUGAAGUACAUGGAGACAAAGACAAAGCAAAGGAAAGGGCUCCUGGACCACAGGAACAGAAAAUCAAACUGAAGAGUGCAGAGGACUGUCUCUAUGAACUUUCAGAAAACACAUGUUUGCUCCUCAAAGAAGGCCAAGGAGAUGCUUCCCACCCAAUGCUGGGUGCAUCCCAAGGUGGAUGUCUGCACUGAUGCUGAAAUAGAAUGCAUUGCCACCAAGGAAGCUAAAGCCUGGCUGCUAGCAGAGGAUCAGAAUAAGAAGAAAGACAUUGAGACAUCUUGUGUGCACCAACAUGUGUGAUUAUGUGUGGUACCACCCAUUUGAUCCCAACGGCUCAAUGCCCUCACAGAGAGAAACAAAGAAGAGUCCAAGGCCUGGCCCUAGAGUGGAUGACACCAAGAAGCCUAAGCAGUCCCUUCCAAAUCACCAGUGUCCUGCUAAAGAGAAGGCCACCGAUGCCCAUCACCAUGAAGAGUUCAAGAAAAACGAACAGUCCUGAGAGCUGCUGAAGGGAAGAUAUGCAGGAUGGGCUGUAAAUAGCACCCCUCCCCUAAUAAAAAAAGACUUCCUGGACCAAGGCCUACUGAUUGGGAGUAGCAGACAGUCCCCCAAAUCCACUCUAUUAGUCCUGCUGCUCACCUGCCUGAUUUCUCAAGCACUGGAUGUGUAAUCUUUUGAGACAAAACAAUAUUCAGUUUUCCUACUUGGAGGCAACUUCAUUCUUAGGAGCAUUGACAUAUAUUUUGUAUAUGUAUUACAUACCGUGUUCUUAUAAUGAAGCAAGCCAGAAAGUGUUAUUAAGAAAAUCACAAGGAAGAGAAGAUAUAUUUACUAUUGAUUAAGUGGAAAUGGAUCAUUACAAGUUCUUCACCCUCGUUGUCUUCGCAUUGAAUAGG